UCUUAUUCGCAAUAGGGAUUGCAGUGAAAAUCCUUUUUACAACAUGAUGGCUGAGCGGAGUCGAAUCUGUUUGUAAAGAUUGAAAAUGGAAAGCCCGGCACGAA
rnacentral:sRNA from 12 species